AUUGAACGCUGGCGGCAUGCCUUACACAUGCAAGUCGAACGGCAGCACGGGGGCAACCCUGGUGGCGAGUGGCGGACGGGUGAGUAAAGCAUCGGAACGUAUCCUGGAGUGGGGGGAUAACGUAGCGAAAGUUACGCUAAUACCGCAUAUUCUGUGAGCAGGAAAGCAGGGGAUCGCAAGACCUUGCGCUCUGGGAGCGGCCGAUGUCGGAUUAGCUAGUUGGUGGGGUAAAGGCCUACCAAGGCGACGAUCCGUAGCGGGUCUGAGAGGACGACCAGCCACACUGGAACUGAGACACGGUCCAGACUCCUACGGGAGGCAGCAGUGGGGAAUUUUGGACAAUGGGCGCAAGCCUGAUCCAGCCAUGCCGCGUGAGUGAAGAAGGCC
rnacentral:rRNA from 1 species